UCUGCAGUCGAGCGGAAGAUGGGAGCUUGCUCCCUGAUGUUAGCGGCGGACGGGUGAGUAACACGUGGGUAACCUGCCUGUAAGACUGGGAUAACUCCGGGAAACCGGGGCUAAUACCGGAUGCUUGAUUGAACCGCAUGGUUCAAUUAUAAAAGGUGGCUUUUAGCUACCACUUACAGAUGGACCCGCGGCGCAUUAGCUAGUUGGUGAGGUAACGGCUCACCAAGGCAACGAUGCGUAGCCGACCUGAGAGGGUGAUCGGCCACACUGGGACUGAGACACGGCCCAGACUCCUACGGGAG
rnacentral:rRNA from 1 species